UGGGGAAUUUUGCGCAAUGGGGGGAACCCUGACGCAGCAACGCCGCGUGCGGGACGAAGGCCUCGGGUUGUAAACCGCUUUCAGCAGGGAAGAUUCAGACGGUACCUGCAGAAGAAGCUCCGGCUAACUACGUGCCAA
rnacentral:rRNA from 1 species